UACAGAGGGGGCGAGCGUUGUUCGGAAUUACUGGGCGCAAAGGGCGCGUAGGCGGCCUUCUAAGUCGAACGUGAAAUCCCCGGGCUCAACCCGGGAACUGCGUCCGAUACUGGGAGGCUUGAAUCCGGGAGAGGGAUGUGGAAUUCCAGGUGUAGCGGUGAAAUGCGUAGAUAUCUGGAGGAACACCGGUGGCGAAGGCGGCAUCCUGGACCGGUAUUGACGCUGAGGCGCGAAAGCCAGGGGAGCAAACGGG
rnacentral:rRNA from 1 species